UACAGAGGUCUCAAGCGUUGUUCGGAUUCAUUGGGCGUAAAGGGUGCGUAGGCGGCGCCGUAAGUCUGGUGUGGAAUCCCGGAGCUCAACUCCGGAAUUGCACUGGAUACUGCGGUGCUCGAGGACUGGAGAGGAGACUGGAAUUCACGGUGUAGCAGUGAAAUGCGUAGAUAUCGUGAGGAAGACCAGUUGCGAAGGCGGAUCUCUGGGCAGUUCCUGACACUGAGGCACGAAGGCCAGGGGAGCAAACGGG
rnacentral:rRNA from 1 species